CUUGGCUUAGUGGCUGAAGACUGAUGCUGCCCAAUUACCUCGGAAGCCUCCUGGACCAUCACAGAUACUUUGAGUAAUCUCUUAUAGUGGAAGGAUGCAAAGUUGGAAUAAGAGCAAUGACCACCUCUCCUGAGAGACCUGUUUGUUCCCACAUCUGUACUCUUCAGUCAACAGAACCUGAUGCAAAGAACAGAAAAGGGGAAGAUGUGGGGGAUUCAGUCAGGAUGGUGGGAGAAAUUGUAAAAUUAUAGGAAAUAAUCACAAACACUUGUGGAAGGCCUGGGGGUUUGCAUAAAAUGUUGGGCUGAAGGCAGCUGAAUUCUCUUAAAAGCUUAGGGCAUAGAUACACAGAAAUGUAGUUUAUCUAAAUGACUUGUUUACUUAUGUGGUCCUAAAACUAACCUUUGAUAGUUUAUGGGCAGGAUAGCUCUCUCAGGGUAGGGGGAGGGCAACCAGAUUGAUUACCCACUGAUGGUGUUGACUCAAAGCCUUCGUCAUUUAAUAUGUGCUGAAUAAAUGCCAGCAGGGCCAGUGAGUCAGGGCCACAGCUGCAACUCUUUACAGCACUCUCCUUUGAGUCUGUAAGUGGCCUAGACCCUCAGCCGGUCUGAC
rnacentral:lncRNA from 10 species